CGAAGUGGAACAUGGACACUUAACUGCUGUGCCACCGGGCAAGCCCCAAGAAAGUCACUUCUGAAAGUAUAUUUCCCCUCAAAGAUUUUUGCUACGUCAGGAAACUACAGUUGUUGGCUGAUAGAAAAAUUACAGCAGCACUAUACAACGAGAGAGCUAUUUCUGCCCCUUGUCAGUGAAGUGUUACCGAUAUCUGGUAAGUAAUAGACCUCGCACUGUAAAAACAUGCUGUUCUUAGCAGACUAUCAAGAAAUUUUAAAAGCAAGGCCUGUGUCUUCGUUUUUGAG
rnacentral:lncRNA from 1 species